UACGUAGGGCGCAAGCGUUAUCCGGAAUUAUUGGGCGUAAAGAGCUCGUAGGCGGCUUGUUGCGUCAGCUGUGAAAACCCGCAGCUCAACUGUGGGCUUGCAGCUGAUACGGGCAGGCUUGAGUUCGGUAGGGGAGACUGGAAUUCCUGGUGUAGCGGUGAAAUGCGCAGAUAUCAGGAGGAACACCGGUGGCGAAGGCGGCGCACUGGACCACAACUGACGCUGAGGCGCGAAAGCUAGGGGAGCAAACAGG
rnacentral:rRNA from 1 species